GCCUUCGUGGUGUAAGGGUUAGCGCACUUGGCGCGUGUUCUAGAGGUUUAGGUUCGAGUCCCGGCGAAGGCA
rnacentral:tRNA from 1 species